UUGGCUUUAGCCAUCAAUUAUGGAGGUCCUUCUGAUCAUAGUAAUGUCUUGUAAUAUUACUGUAGUGGAGCAAUUUUGUAAAGUUGCAGAUCAUUGGACUCGGGGUAUAGGCUGAAAGUGGAGCCAUUUGUAGUAGUUUCUUCCACUGCAAUUGAGGCUAUUCUCUCUUCUUUUAUGAUUAUUAAUGAUCUGAAUCUUAAAAGUGGCAUUUUCUGGUUUGCUACUAACAAUGGGAUGUUUUCUAUGAAGUCUGCUUAUAAUAUUCAGAGUGCUGAUCUUUCUACUCGUCAUCGUCGAAUUUGGAAGACUAUUUAGAAUCUUCAUGUUCCUCAAUGGGCAAAUUCCU
rnacentral:lncRNA from 1 species